rnacentral:rRNA from 1 species
GACGAACGCUGGCGGCGUGCUUAACACAUGCAAGUCGAACGGAAAGGCCCUGCUUUUGUCGGGUUCUCGAGUGGCGUCCGGGUGAGUAACACGUGAGUAACCUGCCCUUGACUUUGGGAUAACUUCAGGAAACUGGGGCUAAUACCGGAUAGUAGCUCUUGCUGCAUGGUGGGGGUUGGAAAGUUUCGGCGGUUGGGUAUGGUCUCGCGGUUUAUCAGCUUGUUGGUGAGGUAGGGGUUUCCGAAGGCUUUGACGGGUAGCCGGCCUGGGAGGGUGGCCGGGGACCUUGCGCCUACGGUAGGCUCCAGUAUGGAACGUUCGGCAGCGGUCGGGAAUCUUGUGCAGUGGGCGGACGUCUGUGAUAGAGGCGCUCGGUGCGGAAUGCACGCUUUUGGGUUGUGAACCGCUUUAGCCUGUGACGAAGCGUGAGUGACGGUAAUGGGUCAAGAAGCACCGGCUAACUACGUG